rnacentral:rRNA from 1 species
AGUCGGACGGUAACGGGUAAGUACUUGUACUUAUGCUGACGAGUGGCGGACGGGUGAGUAAUGCUUGGGAAUCUGUCUUAUGGAGGGGGAUAACGACGGGAAACUGUCGCUAAUACCGCGUAGAGUCGGGAGACGAAAGUGCGGGACUUAAUGGCCGCAUGCCAUGAGAUGAGCCCAAGUGUGAUUAGGUAGUUGGUGGGGUAAAGGCCUACCAAGCCGACGAUCGCUAGCUGGUCUGAGAGGAUGGCCAGCCACACCGGGACUGAGACACGGCCCGGACUCCUACGGGGAGGCAGCAGUGGGGAAUAUUGCGCAAUGGGGGCAACCCUGACGCAGCCAUGCCGCGUGAAUGAAGAAGGCCUUCGGGUUGUAAAGUUCUUUCGGUGGUGAGGAAGGGAUGUUGUUUAAUAGAUAACAUCAUUGACGUUAACUACAGAAGAAGCACCGGCUAACUCCGUGCCAGCAGCCGCGGUAAUACGGAGGGUGCGAGCGUUAAUCGGAAUAACUGGGCGUAAAGGGCACGCAGGCGGACCUUUAAGUGAGGUGUGAAAUCCCCGGGCUUAACCUGGGAAUUGCAUUUCAUACUGGGGGUCUGGAGUACUUUAGGGAGGGGUAGAAUUCCACGUGUAGCGGUGAAAUGCGUAGAGAUGUGGAGGAAUACCGAAGGCGAAGGCAGCCCCUUGGGGAUGUACUGACGCUGAUGUGCGAAAGCGUGGGGAGCAAACAGGAUUAGAUACCCUGGUAGUCCACGCUGUAAACGGUGUCGAUUUGGGGAUUGGGGUUUAGCCUUGGUGCCCGAAGCUAACGUGAUAAAUCGACCGCCUGGGGAGUACGGCCGCAAGGUUAAAACUCAAAUGAAUUGACGGGGGCCCGCACAAGCGGUGGAGCAUGUGGUUUAAUUCGAUGCAACGCGAAGAACCUUACCUACUCUUGACAUCCAUGGAAUCCUGUAGAGAUACGGGAGUGCCUUUGGGAACCAUGAGACAGGUGCUGCAUGGCUGUCGUCAGCUCGUGUUGUGAAAUGUUGGGUUAAGUCCCGCAACGAGCGCAACCCUUAUCCUUUGUUGCCAGCGACUUGGUCGGGAACUCAAAGGAGACUGCCGGUGAUAAACCGGAGGAAGGUGGGGAUGACGUCAAGUCAUCAUGGCCCUUACGAGUAGGGCUACACACGUGCUACAAUGGCGUAUACAGAGGGUAACCAACCGGUGAUGGGGAGUGAAUCUCAAAAAGUACGUCUAGUCGGAU